CCUACGGGUGGCAGCAGUCGAGAAUCAUUCACAAUGGGGGAAACCCUGAUGGUGCGACGCCGCGUGGGGGAAUGAAGGUCUUCGGAUUGUAAACCCCUGUCAUGUGGGAGCAAAUUAAAAAGAUAGUACCACAAGAGGAAGAGACGGCUAACUCUGUGCCAGCAGCCGCGGUAAUACAGAGGUAUCAAGCGUUGUUCGGAAUCACGGGGCGUAAAGCGUGCGUAGGCUGUUUCGUAAGUCGUGUGUGAAGGGGGCGGGCUCAACCCGCGGACGGCACAUGAUACUGCGAGACUAGAGUAAUGGAGGGGGAACCGGAAUGCUCGGUGUAGCAGUGAAAUGCGUAGAUAUCGAGAGGAACACUCGUGGCGAAGGCGGGUUCCUGGACAUUAACUGACGCUGAGGCACGAAGGCCAGGGGAGCGAAAGGGAUUAGAUACCCGUGUAGUC
rnacentral:rRNA from 1 species